rnacentral:rRNA from 1 species
UGAGCCAAGUUUAGGGUUUUCUCAAAACCCAAGCAGUAUUGAACUGAAGAGUUUGAUCAUGGCUCAGAUUGAACGCUGGCGGCAGGCCUAACACAUGCAAGUCGAGCGGAUGAAAGGAGCUUGCUCCUGGAUUCAGCG